rnacentral:rRNA from 1 species
GAUGAACGCUGGCGGCGUGCCUAAUACAUGCAAGUCGAGCGAACAGACGAGGAGCUUGCUCCUCUGACGUUAGCGGCGGACGGGUGAGUAACACGUGGAUAACCUACCUAUAAGACUGGGAUAACUUCGGGAAACCGGAGCUAAUACCGGAUAAUAUAUUGAACCGCAUGGUUCAAUAGUGAAAGACGGUUUUGCUGUCACUUAUAGAUGGAUCCGCGCCGCAUUAGCUAGUUGGUAAGGUAACGGCUUACCAAGGCAACGAUGCGUAGCCGACCUGAGAGGGUGAUCGGCCCAACUGGAACUGAGCCACGGUCCAGACUCCUACGGGAGGCAGCAGUAGGGAAUCUUCCGCAAUGGGCGAAAGCCUGACGGAGCAACGCCGCGUGAGUGAUGAAGGUCUUCGGAUCGUAAAACUCUGUUAUUAGGGAAGAACAAAUGUGUAAGUAACUAUGCACGUCUUGACGGUACCUAAUCAGAAAGCCACGGCUAACUACGUG